rnacentral:lncRNA from 1 species
GUGACUCCAAAAAUUAGGAUUCAAGUUUGUUGUCAUCUAUCCCUCAAUUUGUAAUAUGCACAAAAAAAUAUAAAAUAAAUUCCAAUGAUACAAUGACAGAUAAAGGCUGAAACUCUAAAUUUAAGUUAUUUGGUAAUGUAUUAUAUUAUAUUUGUAAUACCCUAUUUUGGUCCGGGUUUAAAGGACCCGAUUUACAAUCGGCCUAUAUGGCCCAAGUCUAAACAAAACAGAGGCCCGAAUCAAACCCUAGCCCAAAUCAAAGCUCAGGGAGUAGAUGGAACCCUAGGGCGCGCCGCAGCCGCAAGUCUCACACCCUUCGCACGAGCCGCCUUCUCGAAUCUUCAUCUGCACAUCAAAACAAAAAAAAAAGAAGAAGAAGAAAUAAACAGAUAUGGAAAGAAAUUGAAGAUUUGCAAAUCAAAUCAAAGAUUUGUUUCUUUAUGUUGUUAAUACUUCAGUUAUAAAAGAGCCAUUCAUGUAUUGUAACAGGAGAUUCGAAAAUCAAAUAAAAACAAAGCCUUUUAUUUUCGCAAUACAGAGAGCAUAAUCGAUUAAAGGUGGAUACUUGUUGUUCUAUAUUAUUUUUCUGUUAUAUGUAUUUAUUUUUAUCAUUUACAUACAUAUAAAUAAUAUAAGUACAAAAAGGAAAGAAAUAACCUAGGUUUUAAGCCCUGAUCGCCGUGAACAGCCGAGGAACCGUCUCUGAGGAAAGACGGUCAGAAAUCGAAAGGUUUCUUGGGCUUUUGAGGUGCUUCUUCGAAUCUUUUGAAGGUUUUGAGCCCGAAUUUGCGUUUAGGGGCUUCAGAGAAGACCGGAUCUGAGAUUCUCCCUUUUUCGGCCACCGUAUACGGCGGUGCCGGCGCCGGAGAUCAACGGCCGGUGCGGUGGCCGAUGACCAGGCCUUAAGCCGGUGCCCGGAGGAGAGGGGGAAGGUUGAG